rnacentral:rRNA from 1 species
UACGGAGGGGGCGAGCGUUGUCCGAAGUUACUGGGCGUAAAGCGCGUGUAGGCGGUUUGUCAAGUCCGCUGUGAAAGCCCGAGGCUCAACCUCGGAGGGUCGGUGGAUACUGGCAGUCUUGAAGGUGCUAGGGGGAGAUGGAAUUACCGGUGUAGCGGUGAAAUGCGUAGAGAUCGGUAGGAACACCAGUGGCGAAGGCGGGUCUCUGGGCCAAAACUGACGCUGAGGAGCGAAAGCGUGGGGAGCGAACAGG